UGAAGCCAUGUGCUUUUAUUCAUUUUUUCAACGUACUAACGUGUUCACUUAUUAACGGUUCAUAAACAUGUUGUAAACCCCUCAGUUAUCUUGCAAGUCAAAAACCAUUCACUCGACAUUCACCAUUCAACAUUCAUUCAACAUUUAUU